CUCGAUCACAGAGACGACUGAAACAUUAAAUAUGAAGCUUUGUGCGGCUUUAACUGACCUCAGACGCGUUCACACAACAACUCUCAAACUAAAGCUGCUGCCCUGUGAUUCACGUCUGUGUGUGUGUUCAUGUUCAGGAGAUGUUCCUGGAGAUCGAGCAGAAGGUCGCCGGUCUGUCGGCUCUCGGCCUGGCAGCCGCCGCCGACCUGCAGCAGGAUGAACUGGGAGCUGUGGCAUCCCAGCAGGAAGCUGCCGAGCUGCUCUCAUCCAAACUGGAGCUCCUGAAGGCCAACCUGGUCCGAUUCCAGCAGCUGCUGCAGGACCGACAGGGAGAGGAGAGAGGCGUCACUCACAGAGAGCUUCAGGAACAGUCCGUUCCUCAGCCAGAGCGCCACCUGGAGUCCAAGUUGAAGCGCAGCAGCAGCGUCCAGGAGAUCUUCUCCUCACCGAGGAACAAACUCCUGCGGCAGAGCAGCCUGCAGCAGCAGAAGGAGCUGGAGCAGCAGCUGACUGAGCAGAGAGGACUGACUCAGGCCAUCGCCAGGCAGGGCAGCCGAGCUCGACUCCACAGCCAGGACUCAGAGGACCAGGUGUCACACAGGUAACGUACGGCAUCACCACUCUGUUAUUAUAUCACAUUUUGUACAUUUUAAUAUCACUGCAUGUAAGAUAUAUUACAUUUUUAUGGUAAUGCAGUGCCUUUAUUCAAAUUCAUCCAUGAAGUCCUUCAUAGUUUUGUGUUUUUAUAACUCCUGAUGAAUCAAAAUCAGUGAGUUAAAUUGUGAGUAUUACUUUCUUUAACAGAAUAAGGCUAAAAUAGAAUAAAAAAGUAAGAAAUGCCAUUUACUGACACAUGUUAGCCUCAUUUAUUUUCCAAUUUCCAGAGAGAAACCGACACUAAGUUUAAAAGUAUACCUCCAAGAAAGAGGGAAAGAAAGAAAGAUGGAGUUAAUUUUCAGCCUCUUGUCUCCCUGCAGGCGUCCUCCUGCUGAGCCUGAUGUGGAGGCCGACUCUGCUCAGAGGAAGUGGGAUCGCCUCCACAGUCGGCUGCUGAGAGCGGAGGAGAGCUGGCUGCGUCUUCCCUCCGAGGUAAGACCUUCAUCGUGACAGCUGAAGAGCUUGAUUAUCACGCUUCAAAUACAAGAGAGAAAAUCGCUGUUCUCGCCGCGCUUGAUUAUCACCUUCUUUGAGCCGAAGGCACUUUGUUGUGUCUUCGGUGUGAUGGGGACUCCUGCAGGGUUUGAUGAAAGUUGUGUGUUUCUCUCUCUCUCUCUCUCUCUCUGAAGGUGACAGACUCAUCUCUGAGGCGUAGUGAUGGAACAGCAGGACGCAUGAUUGGCACACAAACCCUGAAAGAGCUCCAAACUCACAUCAGCCACCUGAGAGAGCUGGGACACACGGCCGCCGAGAGCCGGGAUCAGGUGCAGGCAGAAUGUGUAUGUUGGGAGAUGUGACUCCUGGAUAGCUGCUGGUCGUGUAGUCACGACCGGAAGUUCACGACCUGAAGAGGUGUCUCGUACCUCACCCUCUUCAUCGUCUUCCUCCUGAGUCGUGUUGUUAAAAACAGGCAUCAUGAAUCUGUGUCAACCUUCUCAGUCGUGGUGUUAAUAGUUCGACUACCGUUCUGUCUCCAGGCGUCUCCUGUGGACGGCUCCCAUCAGGCGCUGGACGAGGGUUUGUUUCAUGUGCUGUACGGCGCGUCCCUGUCUCUGUCCUCCAUCAUCCCCCUGCUGGACUCACCUGUCGGGGUGACACACGAGGAAGAAGCACAGCUGAGGCUGCUGCAACUGCAGGUGUGACUCACCAACAAACACUAAUCCACUGAGAGAGAAAGUUAAAAAAUGUUUCAGCAGAUAAUUGUGGAAAAAUGCAAAUUAUUAAGUUGGAACCAGAUCAGAUAGGAGACACUGCUGUUCAUCAGAUGUCACGAUCCAUCUCUCUUUACCCAUCAGCCAUUGUGUUUGGGGUUUCCUUUUCAGAGUCUGUCUGCAGAGCUGGCUACGCUUCGCAGUGAGCUGGCCUCUCAGGGGUCAAAGGUGAGCAGAGUGCUGGGGUCAGCGUGCGGUCAGCAGUGUGUGGAUGACGUGUGCAGAGUGCUUCCUGUGGUUCUGACUGCACUGAGCAGCACCGAGAAGCAGAUCCGAAACCUGCGGGAGGAGAAUUCAAAGCAGCAGGUCAGAUAUCAGCGCUAACUCUGAUUAACUGCACCAGUCAGCACGCGCUAAUCCACCCUGAAAUAUUUAAAUAAUGUUUUUAUCUUGACUGUAUUAUCUUUACUGUGUGAGUCGUCCUGUAACAUCUACCUUAACAUAUUUAUACAACCUAGAGUUUCUUCAAAAUAAAACCCCUGUUGUCUAAAGAACCAGUGUCGUGUGUUUAACCCACAGAUUCAACUAAAUGAGUUGCAUGCAGCCUUCACUUCUAACCAGACGACCGUUCGCCAAAUACUUAAUGAAUUCAGUGGAACCACGCGCCUUAACGAACAACAUCAGGUACUGUUUCCCCGGAGACGUUUCCCUUUAAGAAGCCGCUCAUGAUCAGAGCGAUCAGAGCGAAACGCUGCAGAGAUUCAUCAGUUGACAUGAAAUAAAUCGCCAACUAACUUCUUUGGACAAUCUUAAAAAAGGUAUUUCUUAAAGGUCAAGUGUUGUAGAAGGAGUGAAACAAGUACAGUACACAGUUUUAUGAACAGGAAUAGAAAAUGUUACCCAACACUUGUACGCAACUUGAGGAACAGCCAGAAAAGUAAACGUGUUCAGACGAGUGCAUUAAAAUGCAGUCGCAAAGUUUUUCAACUGUCAAAGUGUGUGUGUGUGUUUUUCUUCCAGGCGGUGGUUCAGGUGCAGGAGUCUCUGCAGCAGCAGGUGCAGCAGGUGAGCUCCCUGCUGCAGGAGGCCGACAGACACAACCUGCCUGCUGCUGUCCUCCACCAGGCCACACAGCUGCAGGUGUGCUAGCUGCUGUAUCUUUGUCACGUGCAGGGAAACUGCACGCAAACAUGUUUAAAUCUUGAUAUUGUCCGUCUCCUCCCUGCAGGGUGAGCUGGAUGGUGCUCUGGGUGGAGUCCGGUCCCACGCUGAUGAUCUGAGGAGCAGCGUGGAGCUGCAGCAGCAGUACGAGCGGCUGGUCCUCAGCCUGCAGGAGCUGCUCGCUCUGGGCUCUGAACGUCUCACACAGCAGCCCGACUCAGAGCUCCACAGCAGAGCUCAGCUCCAGCAGCAGCUCAGCAGCCACACGGUCAGACAGGAAACACAGCUCACAGUCAUUUGUGAUGCAUGUAAUCAAGAAAAUAACAUUCUAAUCAUGACAUUCUCUUCUUAUUGUUAGAAGUUCUUCCAGUUCCUGAGCCAGCACUUUAAGAUCCUGCAGUACCUGACCCAGAGAGUCCCAGAGAGCGCCCUCCAGAGGUGGGAGGGUGUAGUGACCGGCCUGCAGGGGGAGGUGGCCCGACUGCAGCAGCACGGACUGGAGAGAGGGAUCAGGAUGGAGGAGAAACUACAGGUAGUGCAUGGAGUGCAGUUUAUUUAUCAAGAACAAAUCAGGUGAAGUUACUCAAAACCAUCAGGACUGAGAAUUAUCACUUACUAAUAAUCACAGAAUAGUUCUUAUAACAUCUCUUCCUCUGCCUCAGAUGUGGUCACAGUGGGAGCAGGACAGCACCUGGUCAGACUCCCUGCUAAAAGGCAUCGAGACUUCAUUUCCCAAGAUGCACGAGAGGGGUGAUUCUGAGGAGCAGAUAUCAGAGAAGCUCUCAGUCUACCAGGUAAUCUUCUGUUAAUACAUGUGCUCUUUCUGACCGUCAGGGGAUGAUUCUGAUUUACCCACCAGAGGACAGUGAGCGUGUUUUCCGUUGUUCCUUUCGG
ensembl:lncRNA